rnacentral:rRNA from 1 species
GAUGAACGCUGACAGAAUGCUUAACACAUGCAAGUCUACUUGAACUUCGGUUUGGGUGGCGGACGGGUGAGUAACGCGUAAAGAACUUACCUCACAGUUAGGGACAACAUUUGGAAACGAAUGCUAAUACCUGAUAUUAUGAUUUUAGGGCAUCCUAAGAUUAUGAAAGCUAUAUGCGCUGUGAGAGAGCUUUGCGUCCCAUUAGCUAGUUGGAGAGGUAACGGCUCACCAAGGCGAUGAUGGGUAGCCGGCCUGAGAGGGUGAACGGCCACAAGGGGACUGAGACACGGCCCGUACUCCUACGGGAGGCAGCAGUGGGGAAUAUUGGACAAUGGACCAAAAGUCUGAUCCAGCAAUUCUGUGUGCACGAUGACGUUUUUCGGAAUGUAAAGUGCUUUCAGUUGGGAAGAAAAAAAUGACGGUACCAACAGAAGAAGUGACGGCUAAAUACGUG